rnacentral:rRNA from 1 species
GACGAACGCUGGCGGCGUGCUUAACACAUGCAAGUCGAACGGAAAGGCCCUGCUUUUGUGGGGUGCUCGAGUGGCGAACGGGUGAGUAACACGUGAGUAACCUGCCCUUGACUUUGGGAUAACUUCAGGAAACUGGGGCUAAUACCGGAUAGGAGCUCCUGCUGCAUGGUGGGGGUUGGAAAGUUUCGGCGGUUGGGGAUGGACUCGCGGGUUAUCAGCUUGUUGGUGGGGUAGUGGCUGACCAAGGCUUUGAAGGGUAGCCGGCCUGAGAGGGUGACCGGCCACAUGGCGCCUGCGGUACGGCCCAGUCUCCUACGGGCGGCAGCGGUGGGGAAUUUUGCACAACGGGCGGACGCCUGAUGCAGCAGCGCCGCGUUCGUGAUGCCGGCCUUCUGGUUGUAAACCGCUUUCUCCGUUGACGAAGCGUUAGUGACGGUAAUGGGUAAAGAAGCACCGGCUAACUACGUG